rnacentral:rRNA from 1 species
CGGAGGGUGCAAGCGUUAUCCGGAUUCACUGGGUUUAAAGGGUGCGUAGGUGGGCAAGUAAGUCAGUGGUGAAAUCUCCGGGCUUAACCCGGAAACUGCCAUUGAUACUAUUUGUCUUGAAUACUGUGGAGGUCAGCGGAAUAUGUCAUGUAGCGGUGAAAUGCUUAGAUAUGACAUAGAACACCAAUUGCGAAGGCAGCUGGCUACACAAAUAUUGACACUGAGGCACGAAAGCGUGGGGAUCAAACAGGAUUAGAUACCCUGGUAGUCCACGCCCUAAACUAUGGAUACUCGGCAUUUGCGAUAAACUGCAAGUGUCUGAGCGAAAGCAUUAAGUAUCCCACCUGGGAAGUACGAUCGCAAGAUUG